rnacentral:rRNA from 1 species
AUUGAACGCUGGCGGCAUGCCUUACACAUGCAAGUCGAGCGGCAGCGCGGGGCAACCUGGCGGCGAGCGGCGAACGGGUGAGUAACACAUCGGAACGUGCCCAGACGUGGGGGAUAGCCCGGCGAAAGCCGGAUUAAUACCGCAUGUGAUCUGAGGAUGAAAGUGGGGGACCGCAAGGCCUCACGCGUUUGGAUCGGCCCGCGUAAGAUUAGCUAGUUGGUGGGGUAAUGGCCUACCAAGGCGACGAUCUUUAGCUGGUCUGAGAGGAUGAUCAGCCACACUGGGACUGAGACACGGCCCAGACUCCUACGGGAGGCAGCAGUGGGGAAUAUUGGACAAUGGGCGAAAGACCUGAUCCAGCAAUGCCGCGUGAGUGAUGAAGGCCUUAGGGUUGUAAAGACUCUUUUACCUAGGGAUGAUAAUGACAGUACCUGGAGAAUAAGACUCCGGCUAACUCCGUGCCAGCAGCCGCGGU